UACGGGGGGGGCAAGCGUUGUUCGGAAUUACUGGGCGUAAAGGGCGCGUAGGCGGAUAUCUAAGUUGGGGGUGAAAUCCCGGGGCUCAACCUCGGAAUUGCCUUCAAAACUGGAUAUCUUGAGUUCGGGAGAGGUGAGUGGAACUCCGAGUGUAGAGGUGAAAUUCGUAGAUAUUCGGAAGAACACCAGUGGCGAAGGCGACUCACUGGCCCGAUACUGACGCUGAGGCGCGAAAGCGUGGGGAGCAAACAGG
rnacentral:rRNA from 1 species